GCCAGGCGCCCUCCGACCGCUUUCCGACUGUGACAUCGGCGAGUGACCAUCCAGGUGUGUCUGGCUCGGAUUCACAACCCCUUUGCUGUGCUGCACCGUAAGUCAAGCCCUCUGACAGCAUGGAGCUGUCUCCCCACUCCAGGACUCCCACAUGUCCUUCCCCCUGUCCCCCAGGACAGCUCUUCAGAGAGUUCUGUCCUCUGGACCGAGCCGAGGAAACAGGCAUCAGGGACCAGACCAGUGCUGGGAAAGCGGGACGCAGCUGGCUCCCAGGAUUCAUGGGAAUGUUGGAUCUUUCACCUCUGCCGUCUUCUCUCCCUCCUUCUUCAAGCACUGAGGUGUAUUCUGUCUUCGACAUCUGGAGUCUGUGUUCUCCAAUGGUACAACCUGGACACAGCGUGGGGCAGGGAGAGCUCCAGCUUUGGGCUUUGCUCUCCGAAGGGUCUGACGGCUGCUGCAGCCAGAAAGAGGGGUUCUCAGGGAACAUGAGAGGGAAUCUGAGCAAGAGACAGACCUCAAGGGAAGCGGAGUUUUCUCGACAAUCAGGAAUAAUGGAAGUUGAAUCUUGGAUUAAUUGUCUGAAUCUUUUGAAAAAUUACUGUUUCAUUUACUCAUCUGAAAAUCAUGAAAUUCUACAUUCUCUUGAGGGUGUGAGUCAAAUAGGCAGAAUGAAGUGGGUCAAACUGUCUGGAUUUCUUGGGAAGAGAGGGCUGAGGAGGGCCUUCUUUCUGAAGACUCAGUUCCAUGGGGGGAGGGAGAACCCCAAUUUCACAG
ensembl:lncRNA